rnacentral:snRNA from 1 species
GUGCUCCCUUAUGCAGCAUAUACACUAAAAUCAGAACAAUUAGUAUGGACCCUACAUAAGGAUGACAUGCAAAUUUGUGAAGUGUUCCAUAUUUUU